rnacentral:rRNA from 1 species
GAGGAAUAUUGGUCAAUGGACGAGAGUCUGAACCAGCCAAGUAGCGUGAAGGAUGACUGCCCUAUGGGUUGUAAACUUCUUUUAUACGGGAAUAAAGUUAGCCACGUGUGGCUUUUUGUAUGUACCGUAUGAAUAAGGAUCGGCUAACUCCGUGCCAGCAGCCGCGGUAAUACGGAGGAUCCGAGCGUUAUCCGGAUUUAUUGGGUUUAAAGGGAGCGUAGGCGGGUUGCUAAGUCAGUUGUGAAAGUUUGCGGCUCAACCGUAAAAUUGCAGUUGAUACUGGCGACCUUGAGUGCAACAGAGGUAGGCGGAAUUCGUGGUGUAGCGGUGAAAUGCUUAGAUAUCACGAAGAACUCCGAUUGCGAAGGCAGCUUACUGGAUUGUAACUGACGCUGAUGCUCGAAAGUGUGGGUAUCAAACAGGAUUAGAUACCCUGGUAGUCCACACAGUAAACGAUGAAUACUCGCUGUUGGCGAUAUACGGUCAGCGGCCAAGCGAAAGCAUUAAGUAUUCCACCUGGGGAGUACGCCGGCAACGGUGAAACUCAAAGGAAUUGACGGGGGCCCGCACAAGCGGAGGAACAUGUGGUUUAAUUCGAUGAUACGCGAGGAACCUUACCCGGGCUUAAAUUGCAACUGACUGAACCGGAAACGGUUCUUUCUUCGGACAGUUGUGAAGGUGCUGCAUGGUUGUCGUCAGCUCGUGCCGUGAGGUGUCGGCUUAAGUGCCAUAACGAGCGCAACCCUUAUCGAUAGUUACUAGCAGGUCAUGCUGAGGACUCUAUUGAGACUGCCGUCGUAAGAUGUGAGGAAGGUGGGGAUGACGUCAAAUCAGCACGGCCCUUACGUCCGGGGCUACACACGUGUUACAAUGGGGGGUACAGAAGGCAGCUACACGGCGACGUGGUGCUAAUCCCGAAAGCCUCUCUCAGUUCGGAUUGGAGUCUGCAACCCGACUCCAUGAAGCUGGAUUCGCUAGUAAUCGCGCAUCAGCCACGGCGCGGUGAAUACGUUCCCG